rnacentral:lncRNA from 1 species
CAUGCAUGCCAGGUGAGCAAGCUAUCGCUUGAGCCACAUCCCCAGCCCAAGGCACAUUUUUUUUUUUAAAGUGGGUGAAAUGUGGAAUCAUCAUUUUAUCGAGAGGGGAAGGUAAAUUGGAAUAUUUGUGAAAAUCUAAUUCACUUCAUAAAUGCUGAGGAAGAUAUUCUCAGCUUUUUACAGACUAGAAAGCCAAAGAUCAGUGCUGAAGGGCCUUGAGGAGGAAACACUGCUAAUAAUUCAAGCAGAAGCAAUCCACCUCCCAAGCCUGUGUUUGUGUGUGUGUGUGUGUCUUUGUGGGGGCACCAGAGAUUGAACUCGGGCAUACAGGGCUACUGACCCAUAUUCCUAGCCCUAUUUUGUAUUUUAUUCACAGACAGGGUCUCACUGAGUUGCUUAGCACCUGGCUGUUGCUGAGUUGGCUUUGAACUCAUGAAUCUCCUGCUUCAGCCUCCCAAGCUUCUGGGAUUGUAGGUGUGCACCAUGUUGCUUGCAUUCUUAUUAACUACAUUGACACUUUCACUGAGAUACUGUUUUCUACAGAGUUUUGAAAUAUCCCCACUGAGUAGUAGGAUACACACACACACAUACUCACACACACAAACACAUAUGAACAACUUUGGCACAUGGCUUUACUCAGUCCUACAAUGAGAUCGAG